rnacentral:rRNA from 1 species
UACGUAGGGGGCGAGCGUUAUCCGGAAUUACUGGGCGUAAAGCGCACGCAGGCGGUUCGCCAAGUUUGGAGUGACAGUUGUCGGCUCAACCGACAAAGGACUUCAAAAACUGGUGAACUUGAGGACGAGAGAGGAACAUGGAACUCCAGGUGUAGUAGUGAAAUGCGUAGAUAUCUGGAAGAACACCAAUGGCGAAGGCAAUGUUCUGGCUCGUUUCUGACGCUCAGGUGCGAAAGCCAGGGGAGCGAACCGG